CGACCGGCGCACGGGUGCGUAACGCGUAUGCAACCUACCUUUAACAGGGGGAGUAACACUGAGAAAUUGGUACUAAUACCCCAUAAUAUCAUAGAAAGGCAUCUUUUAUGGUUGAAAAUUCCGAUGGUUAGAGAUGGGCAUGCGUUGUAUUAGCUAGUUGGUGGGGUAACGGCUCACCAAGGCGACGAUACAUAGGGGGACUGAGAGGUUAACCCCCCACACUGGUACUGAGACACGGACCAG
rnacentral:rRNA from 1 species